GAUGAACGCUGGCGGCGUGCUUAACACAUGCAAGUCGAACGGUGAAAGAGAGCUUGCUCUCUGGAUCAGUGGCGAACGGGUGAGUAACACGUGAGCAAUCUGCCCCUGACUCUGGGAUAAGCGCUGGAAACGGCGUCUAAUACCGGAUACGAGCUGCGAAGGCAUCUUCAGCAGCUGGAAAGAACUUCGGUCAGGGAUGAGCUCGCGGCCUAUCAGCUAGUUGGUGAGGUAAUGGCUCACCAAGGCGUCGACGGGUAGCCGGCCUGAGAGGGUGACCGGCAACACGGGGACUGAGACACGGCCCAGACUCCUACGGGAGGCAGCAGUGGGGAAUAUUGCACAAUGGGCGCAAGCCUGAUGCAGCAACGCCGCGUGAGGGACGACGGCCUUCGGGUUGUAAACCUCUUUUAGCAGGGAAGAAGCGAAAGUGACGGUACCUGCAGAAAAAGCACCGGCUAACUACGUGCCAGCCGCCGCGGUAACAC
rnacentral:rRNA from 1 species